UCCUCAGAAGAACUUUGAGCCUUUCCUUCCCCCAAAUUUUAACCCAAAGGACUUGGCGGUGCACUAAUCCCCCCAGGGGAACCUGGCCCUUAAUUCGAUGAUCCACGAACCUCUUACCUUUUCUAGUUUUGCUUAUCUUUGCAAGAAGUAAACAAAGAUCAGCUCGCAUACCGCCGUUUCGUAGCUUGUAUCGUGAGAGGACAUAAACAGGCGCCCUAGUGGCCCGUAUAAAAAUAAAUAAGGGUUUCUCUAAUAAUUCAGGUAAACGUGUUCCGGCCUAUGGAAAGGGGGUGCUGGGUUACAAUUGGGGUUUAUAAUGGCGUGGCUGCCUUAAGGGCAAGACAAAAGAGGACUUGGAAGUAAUAGCCUUGGACAAUGAGGCUGUGAAUACUGCUCUAGUGUGUGUACAAAUCGCCCGUCACUCUCUGA
rnacentral:rRNA from 1 species